rnacentral:rRNA from 1 species
UACGAAGGGGGCGAGCGUUGUUCGGAAUUACUGGGCGUAAAGGGCGCGCAGGCGGCCCUUGAAGUCAGGCGUGAAAGCCCCGGGCUCAACCUGGGAACUGCAUUUGUGACUGCAUCGCUGGAGUGCGGCAGAGGGGGAUGGAAUUCCGCGUGUAGCAGUGAAAUGCGUAGAUAUGCGGAGGAACACCGAUGGCGAAGGCAAUCCCCUGGGCCUGCACUGACGCUCAUGCACGAAAGCGUGGGGAGCAAACAGG